AGUGAACGCUGGCGGUAGGCCUAACACAUGCCAGUCGAACGGCAGCACAGUAAGAGCUUGCUCUUACGGGUGGCGAGUGGCGGACGGGUGAGGCAUACAUCGGAAUCUACUUUUUCGUGGGGGAUAACGUAGGGAAACUUACGCUAAUACCGCAUACGACCUACGGGUGAAAUCAGGGGAUCUUCGGACCUUGCGCGAUUGAAUGAGCCGAUGUCGGAUUAGCUAGUUGGCGGGGUAAAGGCCCACCAAGGCGACGAUCCGUAGCUGGUCUGAGAGGAUGAUCAGCCACACUGGAACUGAGACACGGUCCAGACUCCUACGGGAGGCAGCAGUGGGGAAUAUUGGACAAUGGGCGCAAGCCUGAUCCAGCCAUACCGCGUGGGUGAAGAAGGCCUUCGGGUUGUAAAGCCCUUUUGUUGGGAAAGAAAAGCAGCAGGUUAAUACCCCGCUGUUCUGACGGUACCCAAAGAAUAAGCACCGGCUAACUUCGUG
rnacentral:rRNA from 1 species